rnacentral:rRNA from 1 species
UUGAAUUGAAGAGUUUGAUCAUGGCUCAGAUUGAACGCUGGCGGCAGGCUUAACACAUGCAAGUCGAACGGUAGCAGGAGAAAGCUUGCUUUCUUGCUGACGAGUGGCGGACGGGUGAGUAAUGCUUGGGAAUCUGGCUUAUGGAGGGGGAUAACGACGGGAAACUGUCGCUAAUACCGCGUAUUAUCGGAAGAUGAAAGUGCGGGACUGAGAGGCCGCAUGCCAUAGGAUGAGCCCAAGUGGGAUUAGGUAGUUGGUGGGGUAAAUGCCUA